rnacentral:rRNA from 1 species
GACGAACGCUGGCGGCGUGCUUAACACAUGCAAGUCGAACGGAAAGGCCCUGCUUUUUUGGGGUGCUCGAGUGGCGAACGGGUGAGUAACACGUGAGUAACCUGCCCUUGACUUUGGGAUAACUUCAGGAAACUGGGGCUAAUACCGGAUAGAAGCUCCUGCUGCAUGGUGGGGGUUGGAAAGUUUCGGCGGUUGGGGAUGGACUCGCGGCUGAUCAGCUUGUUGGUGGGGUAGUGGCUUACCAAGGCUUUGACGGGUAGCCGGCCUGAGAGGGUGACCGGCGAGAUUGGGAGUGAGACAGUGCCCAGACGCCGACGGGAGGGAGCAGUGGGGAAUGUGGGACGCUGGGGGAAACCCUGAGGCAGCGAGGGCGGGGGAUUGAGAAGGCCUUCGGGUUGGAAAAAUCUUUUGUAUAGGAAGAAAAUGACAGUACUAUAUGAAUAAGGUCCGGCUAAUUACGUG